CGACAGCGCGGGCGAGAGCGAGCGGUGGUUCUGCUUCCUCUCCACUCGCUCACUCCACUCCACUCCACAGUGGCACAGACGCACAGUCUCGCACUCUCGCUCAGAGUCAGAUCACGCCCCUCCCCUCCAUUUCUCUCCUCCCUAUAAAGCGGCGUCCCGAGGCAAGAAUCCAGCCUCCACUACCCCCAGCCGGGCCAGCCCCCCCAAGCCAAGCAGAAUCCUCGCCCCGCAAUGCAGCACCUGGCCGCCGUGCUCCUCGUCCUGGCGGCUACCACCGCGCUGCCGCCCGGCGCGGCGGCGUGGCGCCCGUGGCCGCCGCGCGACAACGCGACGGCUGCGGCGGGCCUUGGCGCGUCCAAGAGGCUGGAGGGCUCGUCGGAGUUCGUGAAGCUGGAGUACCACAUGGGCCCGGUCCUGGCGUCGGCCAUCACGGUGCACCCGAUCUGGUACGGGCCCUGGCCGGCGGCGCAGAAGCGCACGAUCCGCGCGUUCCUCCGCUCCCUGUCGCCUUCUGCCGCCAUCCCUUCGCCGUCCGUGUCGGCGUGGUGGCGCACGGUGCGGCUGUACGCGGACCAGACCUCGGCGAACGUGUCGGCGUCGGUGUCGCUGGGCGCGGAGAAGUCGGACGCGCGCAUGUCCCGCGGCGCGCGGCUGUCGCGCAUGGACAUCCAGGCAGUGGUCCGCGACGCCGUGACGGCGCGCACCCGGCCCCUGCCCGUGGACGCCAGCGGCGGCGUGUACCUGGUGCUCACGUCCCCGGACGUCGCCGUGGACGACUUCUGCGGGCAGGUGUGCGGCUUCCACUACUUCACCUUCGCGUCGGUGGUCGGGUCCACGCUGCCGUACGCGUGGGUGGGCAACUCGGCGCGCAGGUGCCCCGAGGUGUGCGCGUACCCGUUCGCGGUCCCGGCGUACGUGCGCGGGCGCAGGCCCGAGUCCCCGCCCAACGGCGACGUCGGGGUGGACGGCAUGGUCAGCGUCAUCGCGCACGAGCUCGCGGAGAUGGCGUCCAACCCGCUCGCCAACGCCUGGUACGCCGGCGGCGACCCGUCGUUCCCCACGGAGAUCGCAGACCUCUGCGAGGGCAUCUACGGCACCGGCGGGGGAGGGGCGUACACGGGGCAGCUGCUCACGGACGCGCGCUCCGGCGCGGCCUACAACGUGAACGGCGUCGGCGGGCGCAGGUUCCUCGUGCAGUGGGUGUGGAACCCCGUGCUCAGCUACUGCUCCGGCCCCAACGCGCUCGACCAGUAGCUGUUUGGUUUCGGUUUCGUUUCAUCUCCUACUAGGAUGGAAUGGAAUGGGAUUUUACUACGUACCAAUGAAUCGAAUCCUCUAGCGCAUUUGGAUUUUCCUCUCCUCUCCUCUCCUCUCCCCGGGGAAAUCCAUGGGAUGCUUCUGUAUAGAGUUGUUAUUAUCAAUUAAUUAAUGCCACUUUCGGUGGAAGGAAAAGGAACAUGUCUGUAACCUGCAGAGCUGGCUGGGUUAAAACCGUCAGGGUUUACCAUCCAUUGGCUGGCUUUACUAGCAGGUGCAGUACACAGAGUGGUGGGCUUCUUCUCUCAAAUGAUGAUGGCGCUAACACAGCAAGCAUUUUAGCAGGACAGUGCGUACCAUGCUUCGGAGGGAGUAGCACAGCACAGUGCAGUGUGCAGAGCAGAAAAGGACAAGGGCCGGAGUGCACUGUGCAGCCUGCAGCGCGCAAUGAUUCCCCGGGACUCGGACUGGGUGAGGGCGGUUUGUAGUGACUGCGCUGGGUGGUAGGCGUGUCAGCUAGGCGUCCCCCCUUCCCUGUGGCAGUGCAGUGCGUCUUCGUGGUGUGGGUCACCGCGGCCGGCACGAAUUAUUUGAUUGACUGUUGUUAAUUGGCCUCCGACAGAAACAGUCCCGAGGGAAGACUAUUGUUCU
rnacentral:misc_RNA from 1 species